rnacentral:rRNA from 1 species
AAUAGAUACCCUGGUAGUCCAUGCCGUAAACGUUGGGCGCUAGAUGUGGGGACCAUUCCACGGUUUCCGUGUCGCAGCUAACGCAUUAAGCGCCCCGCCUGGGGAGUACGGCCGCAAGGCUAAAACUCAAAGGAAUUGACGGGGGCCCGCACAAGCGGCGGAGCAUGCGGAUUAAUUCGAUGCAACGCGAAGAACCUUACCAAGGCUUGACAUAUACGAGAACGCUCUAGAAAUAGAGAACUCUUUGGGCACUCGUAUACAGGUGGUGCAUGGUUGUCGUCAGCUCGUGUCGUGAGAUGUUGGGUUAAGUCCCGCAACGAGCGCAACCCUCGUUCUAUGUUGCCAGCGGUUCGGCCGGGAACUCAUAGGAGACUGCCGGGGUCAACUCGGAGGAAGGUGGGGAUGACGUCAAAUCAUCAUGCCCCUUAUGUCUUGGGCUUCACGCAUGCUACAAUGGCCGGUACAAAGGGCUGCAAUACCGUAAGGUAGAGCGAAUCCCAAAAAGCCGGUCUCAGUUCGGAUUGAGGUCUGCAAC